AGUCUGCAUCUGGUGAGUAAUGUGGGUGUAAGGAAUCGACACCCUUGCGUCUAAUCCAGACAUCUCUAAAAGACCACCCCGGUUUCAAUGCUCCUCAUGAGACCAGAUGAAGCCAUCAUUAUUAACUCCUUAAUUUGUCCAAUACUGCUUCACUUAUUUCCUCAUGGGGUUGCCUCUGAGAGCAAGCCCCGGUAAACUUCUUCCUUAUACAUCUUAAUCUCAAAGUCUGAUUCCUAGAAACCCAAGAGAUUUUGAUUUGAAUUUAAAUAACAGGCGGAGUUUGAAAGAAUAAAGAGAUGGAGGGAACGCAUCAUAACCUGGUAUGACCUGGAUCAACAUAAACAAAGGUUGGACUUGGCAAUGAGAGGCACUCCCACAGG
rnacentral:lncRNA from 1 species